GUAUUCCUGGGCGACUCUGCUCGUGUGGUCUGUGGAGUUGUGGAGGUCGCAGUUCUAGGACAGCCAUUUCAUAGGCCUCUGCUGCAGUGGAUCUGUUGGAGUUGCACACAGCGCAACGCGUCUUUGAUCAACACAAAUUGACACAAACCGAGCAACUUCUGAAUGUGACUGAAGUAAUCAACUGUUUAACGUCCAUUUAUGAUGUUUUGGAACAAAACCACAAGGACUUGGUCAAUGUGCCACUCUGUGUCGACAUGUGUCUGAACUGGCUGCUGAACGUAUUUGAUACCAUCGAGACCAAGCCAGACAGCUUGUCAUGCUUGUCAGCAGUCAUCAAUCAAAGGAGUGGAUGUGUUGCCGUUCAGCACCGUGAUAUGUUGAUCUCACACCUGCAGUAUGUGCCAGCUGCAGAAGCACAGAAGGCAUUGCAUUGUCUCCAACCACAUGGUCAUGCUUCAGGUUCCGAGGGGAAUGGUCUCCAGUCAAGCGAGGCAGUUUCAGGCAGCAGAUCGAGGGGUAUGAGUGGAAGAAUCAGAGUGCUUUCUUUGAAAAUUCGCUUGACGUGACUCUUCAAGGAUCAUCUGGAGGAAAAAUACAAGUAUCUCUUCAAACAAGUCGCUGAACCCACAGAUUUAUGUGACCAACGAAGCCUGAGUCUUUUGCUUUACGAUGCAGUCCAGAUCCCUUGGCAGCUGGGUGAGGUAGCUUCAUUUGGAGGCUGCAACAUUGAACCAAGUAUCCGCAGUUGCUUCCAACAUGGCCAGAACAAACCAG